CCCUAGCCUCCCGAAGAAAAAUCGUUCGGUCCCUGCCAGAGGAAAGGUCAAUAGGAUUGAUUGGCUCGAUCCAGCCGAGCGGGAUGCAGGCGACGCGAGAAUCCCUGGAUUCAACCGACGCAUGCGAUUUGUCUACGAGGGGAUCCAGCUGACAGGUGCCAUGCGGGUCGAGGCAAUAGGUAUUCGGGGUGUUCGGCAGUCCCGUGAGGCAGAUCGACAAUCGAAACUGGUCCUUUGGGAUUUGAAGAAGGUAAUCAAUCUUCAGUUUCUAGGGUCAUUCAUGGUGGAUGAUGUAUGGCACUCGCCGAUGGCAAUUAAUCAAGGUGGUGACUGUUGUUUCACGCUGGUGAGAAGAUAUUGCACAAAGCUUAGGUGAUCAAAACCCACCCCAAAAUCCCCACCAAUCAGGUAAAACCCUGUGCAUGAGGGCACAAUAAACAUUUUCUUUGUCAAAGAAAUUCUUGAUUAACUAUGACUGUGUUGUUGAUGCUUGGUUUCUUUUUUCAAGAUUUGGCUUCAGUUUAGGUAAAUCAUCAAUUUGUUUCUGGGUAAUCUCUAUUCUUACCAGAUUUACAUAUUAGAGAACAAUAUGUACUCUAGAUUAAGAUGCCGUCAUGAAAUCAUUUAUCUGAACAUAGCAAAGAAGAUUUAGAAGUUGGGGAUAGAGAAGUAGUACAGGAAUGCAAUUUAUCGUGUAGGGCUGAAUCGGCAUUUUGUAAAAUUUCCAAUGAAACACGUGUGGAGGCUACAAUCAGGUAUAGUCCAGUUUGUGAUACACCAAACGCAAUCUGAGAGAGUUAGGAAUAUAGAGAGAAGAUGGUAAUUAUGGACAGAGGAGAGGAAUAAAUGUGAUCAACAUAUAUAUGUAGUAACUGGAGAGAUGAUGUGGUGGAGUGGAAUUUGAGUAGGUGGUGAAGCAGAAUUUGGGUAGGUGACGAGUUUAUUAGCUCUGUCCAUUUGGUAAGAUGUACUAAAUGGGGCCUUAUGUAUAAUGAAUGUUAGCUACAGGAGCACAUCUCUGUAUGGAUUGAAUUCACUUGAGGAGCUGCACUUGAAUACUAUCUUGAAGCUUA